UAGCACCUCAAGUGGUCAGGAUGAUUAUUGGGCCUAAAGCAUCCGUAGCCGGCGCUGUAAGUUUUCGGUUAAAUCUGUACGCUCAACGUAUGGGCUGCCGGGAAUACUGCAAAGCUAGGGAGUGGGAGAGGUAGACGGUACUCGGUAGGAAGGGGUAAAAUCCUUUGAUCUAUUGAUGACCACCUGUGGCGAAGGCGGUCUACCAGAACACGUCCGACGGUGAGGGAUGAAAGCUGGGGGAGCAAACCGGAUUAGAUACCCGAGUAGUCC
rnacentral:rRNA from 1 species